GACGAACGCUGGCGGCGUGCCUAAUACAUGCAAGUUGAGCGCUGAAGGUUGGUACUUGUACCAACUGGAUGAGCAGCGAACGGGUGAGUAACGCGUGGGGAAUCUGCCUUUGAGCGGGGGACAACAUUUGGAAACGAAUGCUAAUACCGCAUAAAAACUUUAAACACAAGUUUUAAGUUUGAAAGAUGCAAUUGCAUCACUCAAAGAUGAUCCCGCGUUGUAUUAGCUAGUUGGUGAGGUAAAGGCUCACCAAGGCGAUGAUACAUAGCCGACCUGAGAGGGUGAUCGGCCACAGUGGGACUGAGACACGGCCCAAACUCCUACGGGAGGCAGCAGUAGGGAAUCUUCGGCAAUGGACGAAAGUCUGACCGAGCAACGCCGCGUGAGUGAAGAAGGUUGUCGGAUCGUAAAACUCUGUUGGUAGAGAAGAACGUUGGUGAGAGUGGAAAGCUCAUCAAGUGACGGUAACUACCCAGAAAGGGACGGCUAACUACGUG
rnacentral:rRNA from 1 species